GUGGCUGGUGGCUCAGUGGUAGAGCACUUGCCUAGCAUGUGUGAGGCCCUGGGUUCAAUCCUCAGCACCACA
rnacentral:tRNA from 1 species